GCCCUGGACAAGCGGACCCCAGCGCAACUGGCCUAUGAGAAGAUCCAGGAAAAGCGGCAAAUAGAACGGAUCCUGAAGAAAGCAUCUAAAACCCACAAACAGAGGGUUGAGGAUUUUAAUCGGCAUCUGGACACUUUAACAGAACAUUAUGACAUCCCAAAAGUCAGCUGGACCAAAUGAGCAUCUUUUCACUCCUCCCA